GUUCCAAUGCUAAGUGCUAUGUAAGAUUCUACAGCAUUUGAACAUGUGACAUGGGGUUGUUACUACAUGUGCAUGGAACGGGAAUCCAUUUGUCAUUCCAAACUUUAAUAUUCCUUGUCUUCAACAACCUUCAAUCCUGUGCUAAACAUACACUGCGCCACAUGUGGCUUGGAUUGAACACAACAUUAGCAGUAAGGGAAUCUUGAAUCUUCACCGUGGUAAUUGUGUGCUUAACAUACCCCAGCAAUCAAAGACAGGACUUUUGACCACUUUCCUGGGCCGUCUUACAAGAAGAGCCAAAUUAAAGGGAUGGGAAUAUGAAAUCCAGUCUUCAUCUGCUUUGGAUGGACACUUUUCAGUCCAUCUUAACUAAUGAAUUUUCUUUUCAUUCUCCUUCUGGCCCCUUCAAAACCUCCAUAUUGCAGAUUUAAUUUUAUCACAAAGGCUUUGAAACAGUAAAAAGUGGGCAUCACAUAACUAAGAAUUGCUUGGGUUAUAGAUUUAAUGAGAACCUCUUUACUCCUACAAAAUUUCUUUCCACUCUUGAAGUUCUUUUCCAUAUAGUUUUCUUAAUUGAAUGAAAUGAACUUUUCUGAUCUCAUGAUAGCAGUUGGCAAACCCAAAGAUUUUUCGUAUUUAUCAGUCUCCUUAACACCUAGGAUGUUAAUAUCAUUUGAU
rnacentral:misc_RNA from 1 species